UACGGGGGGGGCAAGCGUUGUUCGGAAUUACUGGGCGUAAAGGGCUCGUAGGUGGCCAACUAAGUCGGACGUGAAAUCCCUCAGCUUAACUGGGGAACUGCGUCCGAUACUGGAUGGCUUGAGUUUGGGAGAAGGAUGCGGAAUUCCAGGUGUAGCGGUGAAAUGCGUAGAUAUCUGGAGGAACACCGGUGGCGAAGGCGGCAUCCUGGACCAACACUGACACUGAGGAGCGAAAGCCAGGGGAGCAAACGGG
rnacentral:rRNA from 1 species